AAGAAAAUGACUGGCCUGCACAGGGCCCUGACCUCAACCCCAUCCAACACCUUGGGGAUCAAUUGGAACGCCAACUGCGAGCCAGGCCUAAUCAGUGCCUGGCCUCAGUAAUGGUCUUCUGGCUGACUGGAAGCAAAUCCCUGCAGCAAUGCGCCAACAUCUAGUGUAAAGCCUUCCCAGACAAGUGGAGGUUGUUAUAGCAACAAAGGGUGGACCAAGUCCAUAUCAAUGCCCAUAAUUCUGGAUGAGAUGUUGAUGUCAGGUGUCCACAUUCUGGCCGUGUAGUGUAGUAUCAAAGGCAUAUGCCAGAAGGAGCAGUAGAAAUACAUCAAUAUCAGGCGCUCUUGCCCUGCGAGCCUGGAGUUAUCUGAACUUGCUGGUGCCAUUCCAGGGUAGGACAAUUUCAGCAUUUCAAGGCAAAGUGAGAGCAGGUUACUGGCCAGCCCUGAAGAUGAACUGGAAAGUGUGGACCCCUUUCCAAUUUAUCAACAUCAACUAUGUGCCUGUUCAGUUCCGUGUACUGUUUGCCAACCUGGUGGCUUUGUUCUGGUACGCCUACCUUGCGUCGGUGAGGAAGUGAAGCCGCCCGACCACCCUUCAGUUUUACGGAAUUCAGCAUGUGCCGGACGUGCGUGGUUCCCAGGACACGUGUUUAACAUACUGUAGGCCUGAUUGUACUAAAUAUAGGUGCUGGAAAUGAACGAGAUGGUCGAACCACAUCCAGUGCAGUCGUGGAUUAAACGAACGGUUCGCCAAUGAAGUGGCAGUUCCACAGGGAUCAAAAUGCCAUUUAUAAAUAUAAGGAUUUGCACACAAACUGAGAAUCAUGUUGACUGAUUGUACCGUAUACGAUAAUUGAAGAGAAUGCUUUGGAUCCUUCACACAUUGCCUCAAUUUGCAGAAUCGCACGUGUCACAAAAAAAAAUGGACACGUGAUUAAAUUUAACCUGGAUGCUGAACUGAGAUUUGAGCGAAGCUAAUGCAUUAUCCAUAUUUGUUCAACAUCAAAACUCAAUACAACAGAAAAUCAAUGGCUAAUUUUAAGGUGUAAGCUAAACACAACAUGCAGAUUGGUGAUCAAGUAAGACUAAUCAGUAUUGCUCUACUUUAGUAUUACUUUAUUAUCAGUGUUGUUGCUUAUAAGCAAAGCCAGCUGCUGUCUUGAAUACCCACCAGUGUUGUAUUGGAACCCAAACCCAGUUGCUUGCUACGUAGUAAUGUCUAGAGCAAACGACGUGGAGGAAAACACCUCGAUGUGCACCUGCUGUAUAAAAUCCUGCACUCUGCGCAGGUAUGCGUCAAUGUAACCUUUCGAUGAUCAGCCAUUUUUUUCCACUCAACCUUUGAAAUAAAACAAGUGCUUGCCUUCA